GGUACGGGGGGCAAGCGUUGUUCGGAAUUACUGGGCGUAAGGGGCUCGUAGGCGGCCAACUAAGUCAGACGUGAAAUCCCUCGGCUUAACCGGGGAACUGCGUCUGAUACUGGAUGGCUUGAGAUUGGGAGAGGGAUGCGGAAUUCCAGGUGUAGCGGUGAAAUGCGUAGAUAUCUGGAGGAACACCGGUGGCGAAGGCGGCAUCCUGGACCAAUACUGACACUGAGGAGCGAAAGCCAGGGGAGCAAACGGG
rnacentral:rRNA from 1 species